rnacentral:rRNA from 1 species
GGCGAACGGGUGAGUAAUGCAUCGGAACGUGCCCAGUCGUGGGGGAUAACGCAGCGAAAGUCGUGCUAAUACCGCAUACGAUCUAUGGAUGAAAGCGGGGGACCUUCGGGCCUCGCGCGAUUGGAGCGGCCGAUGUUAGAUUAGGUAGUUGGUGGGGUAAAGGCUCACCAAGCCAACGAUCUAUAGCUGGUCUGAGAGGACGACCAGCCACACUGGAACUGAGACACGGUCCAGACUCCUACGGGAGGCAGCAGUGGGGAAUUUUGGACAAUGGGCGAAAGCCUGAUCCAGCAAUACCGCGUGCAGGAAGAAGGCCCUCGGGUUGUAAACUGCUUUUGUACGGAACGAAACGGCGUGCUCUAUAAAGUGCGCUAAUGACGGUACCGUAAGAAUAGGCACCGGCUAACUACGUGCCAGCAGCCGCGGUAAUACGUAGGGUGCAAGCGUUAAUCGGAAUUACUGGGCGUAAAGCGUGC